rnacentral:rRNA from 1 species
GACAAAGGGGGCUAGUGUUAUCCAUCAUAAUUAGGUGUAAAAGGUACGUAGCUUGGUUUUAUUUAAAAUUCAUUGUUAAAGGUUAUAAAAAAUUAUAAAAACAAUUAGUUUUAAAAAUCUAGAGAAAAAAUUAGGUAAAGGGAAUCACUAGUGUAGGGUUGAAAUGCGCAGAUAUCAGGAGGAACACCGGUGGCGAAGGCGGCAUCCUGGACCGGCAUUGACGCUGAGGAGCGAAAGCCAGGGGAGCAAAUGGG